ACGAUGGAUGUAAUAAAUGAACCUUCCCUAGAUUCUGAAUGUUCGUCAUAAGAACUUCGGUACAUUGUACUAUUUUCCCUUGGAAUUACCAUAUAUCUUCAGUUGCAUCAAUAUCCGUGUGUUGAGGAAUCAAACCGAGCACAUCCAACAGCCAACCAUCAUCAUCGUCAUCGACAUCAUCAGUGUUGUGCUGUGUCGAACAAACGAAGACGAAAAUAAUCAAAACGUCAAAAUUUUCUCCGCUGCGACGACUUCACAACACAUUCGAACAUUCCAAUAAUCAUCGCGCAGUCAGGCUUCUUCAGACUACAUACGUUCCUAUGUGAGGAUAGUGAAGAGCAAUACCCAACAACACAGUAGUGAUUCGAACACACUUACGACGAAUCGUCAGAGUAUUGGGGUGUACAAUUUUUACUGAAUCGGAAUCGGACGGAAUUGUGUGUGCUGGCUGGCUGCAGGUUAUUAGCAGAGAAGAAGACAGACUAGCAAGCAACUCGGGUACGUAGGUACGUCGUCUAUAGACAAACGGUGAAGAAUCGCGAAAAUUUUGGCAAUUUUUCUUGCACAAUUCGGUAUUCGGUAGGCUAUUCGCUGCGACAGCAUACGACGGGAACGUUUCGUUCAGGUGACCGCAGUGCGUAUGGAUUUACGACGGAAUACCAGGAGUUCGGUGCCGGGCUAGUGGGAUUCGGUCAAUUUGUGAUGUGGUGUGCCAUGGAUGGUGGUGAACUUGAAAAUUUCUCCAUUUGGAAUGACAAUAAUUAUUGUGGAUGGAUGUGGAGAUAGACUACGGCAGCAAUAGCAGAAUCAGCAGCAGUGCGUAGAGCAGCUGAAAAAUACCAAGAAGUGUGGUGACUCCGUGCAGAUUUUGAGGGGGUUGCAAAAAUCGAUGGCGAACAAGAAGAGUAGUGACAGAUUCGAUUGCCUGCUGCCACCACAUCUGCUGCUGGGCUGGGCUGCAUCGACGACGACGACAACUGGGACUGGGACUGGGAAGGAGGAAAUCCUUUCCGUCGUCUGUCAGAUUGUUUCUGUUGUUCCGUAGGAAGAAGAGAAAAACAGUGCGAGGUUUAUCGAUUGGCCCAGGCUAUGCUAGUAGUGCUGCUGUCAACGCGAUUGUUGUAAGCAGCAAGCAGUUAACCGGAAAAGAAUGUCGAAUUGUUGAUACCACACCGCAGAAUAGGUAUUCGUCGUUGUGCUCUUUCAACCCGGUCAGUGUUCUCUGAUCCCGAAGAAAAAAAAGUGGUUUUCAGUGCGUUCGUUCAGUAGUGCCGCAGCGAAAAGAAGUCGCAAGAAGAUGGAAGUUUCUCCCAUAUUGACAGUGUGAAA